AAGGGCACUAAAUACUGCUCCGUAAAAACCAUCUUAAAGGCUGUUUGCAACAGAUCCAGUACACCCGAAGUUGUCAUUGCAGAAUAAAGCAAACACAUCAUGUUUGGAAAACAUAGAAUUUACUGCAGAGCCUAAUGCUGCCGAUUACAAUAAGAUGAUGCAUCAAUUAAAAAAGAAAAAUUAAAUUAAAAAAUAAAUGUAUAGUGACAGUGACCAAUAAAACAUUUUUAUUACGUU